rnacentral:rRNA from 1 species
GUAGGGAAUCUUCCGCAAUGGACGAAAGUCUGACGGAGCAACGCCGCGUGAGUGAUGAAGGCUUUCGGGUCGUAAAACUCUGUUGUCAGGGAAGAACAUCCGGGAUAACCUCCCGGUCUGACGGUACCUGAUUAGAAAGCCCCGGCUAACUACGUGCCAGCAGCCGCGGUAAUACGUAGGGGGCAAGCGUUGUCCGGAAUUAUUGGGCGUAAAGCGCGCGCAGGCGGUUUCUUAAGUCUGGUGUGAAAGCCCGCAGCUCAACUGCGGAGGGCCACUGGAAACUGGGAAACUUGAGUGUAGGAGAGGAGAGCGGAAUUCCACGUGUAGCGGUGAAAUGCGUAGAUAUGUGGAGGAACACCCGUGGCGAAAGCGGCUCUCUGGCCUAUAACUGACGCUGAGGCGCGAAAGCGUGGGGAGCAAACAGG